rnacentral:tRNA from 1 species
GGAAGGGUACUCGAAGUGGCCCAACGAGGACCGGCCCAGCCGGUCGGGCUCAUAGCCCACGCAGGUUCGAAUCCUGCCCCUUCCG